AGACUGGCUGUUGAGAUUCGUCUACCGCACCGCGUCCAUUCAGCUGAACGUCGCAGGGCUUCAGCCCGUCUGCCUGGAUGACCGCCGGAUGGUGAAUGUGGAUCUGUCUUCCAUCGUAAACGGCAACCUGGA